GGUUUGAUCAUGGCUCAGAUUGAACGCUGGCGGAUGCUUUACACAUGCAAGUCGAGCAGCAGCGGACUUCGGUCUGGUGGCGAGUGGCGAACGGGUGAGUAAUGUAUCGGAACGUGCCUAGUAGCGGGGGAUAACUACGCGAAAGCGUAGCUAAUACCACAUACGCCCUUCGAGGAAAGCGGGGGACCUUCGGGCCUCGCACUAUUAAACGGCCGAUAUCGGAUUAGCUAGUUGGUGGGGUAACGGCUCACCAAGGCGACGAUCCGUAGCUGGUUUGAGAGGACGACCAGCCACACUGGGACUGAGGUGCGCUUGCGGCCCGGGCUCUCUACGGGAGGCAGCAGUGGGGAAUUUUGGACAAUGGAAAACCUGAUCCAGCCAUCCCGCGUGUGCGAUGAAGGCCUUCGGGUUGUAAAGCACUUUUGGCAGGAAAGAAACAGCACAGGAUAAUACCCCGUGCAACUGACGGUACCUGCAGAAUAAGCACCAGCUAACUGAUGCCAGCAACCGCGGUAAUACGUAGGGUGCAAGCGUUAAUCGGAAUUACUGGGCGUAAAGCGUGCGCAGGCGGUUCGGAAGAAGAAGAUGUGAAAUCCCAGAGCUUAACUUUGGAACUGCAUUUUUAACUACCGAGCUAGAGAGUGUGUGUCAGAGGAGGUGGAAUUCCGCGUGUAGCAGUGAAAUGCGUAGAUAUGCGGAGGAACACCAUUGUGAAAGGCGGCCUCUGGGAUAACACUGACGCUCAUGCACGAAAGCGUGGGGAGCAAACAGGAUUAGAUACCCUGGUAGUCCACGCCCUAAACGAUGUCAACUAGCUGUUUGAGGCCUUCGGGCCUUGGUAGCGCAGCUAACGCGUGAAGUUGACCGCCUGGGGAGUACGGUCGCAAGAUUAAAACUCAAAGGAAUUGACGGGGACCCGCACAAGCAGUGGAUGAUGUGGAUUAAUUGAUGCAACGCGAAAAACCUUGCCUACCCUUGACAUGUCUGGAAUCCCGAAGAGAUUUGGGAGUGCUCGCAAGAGAACCGGAACACAGGUGCUGCAUGGCUGUCGUCAGCUCGUGUCGUGAGAUGUUGGGUUAAGUCCCGCAACGAGCGCAACCCUUGUCAUUUAGUUGCUACGAAGGGCACUCUAAUGGGGACUGCCCGACUGAAGCCGGAGGAAGGUGGGGAUGACGUCAAGUCCUCGACAUGGCCCUUAUGGGUAGGGCACCGCACGUCAUACAAUGGUCGGGACAGAGGGUCGCCAACCCGCGAAGGGCCAAUCCCGAAGCCCGAUCGUAGUCCGGAUCGCAAUCUGCAACUCGACUGCGUGAAGUCGGAAUCGCUAUUAAUCGCGGAUCAGCAUGUCGCGGUGAAUACGUUCCCGGGUCUUGUACACACCGCCCGUCACACCAUAGGGAGUGGGUUUUACCAGUAAAUUAGCUAACCGUAAGGAGGGCGAUUACCACGGUAAGUUCAUGACUGGGGUGAAGUCGUAACAAGGUAG
rnacentral:rRNA from 1 species